rnacentral:lncRNA from 1 species
GAAGGUGACGGUGGAGGAGGUGACUUGUAGUAGUAGGGUGGAGGUGGUGAUGGGGAUGGUGGAAGAGGAGACUUGUAGUAGUAGGGUGGUGGAGGAGAUGGCGAUGGAGGUGGUGGUGACUUGUAGUAGUAUGGUGGAGGGGGAGAAGGCGAUGGAGGAGGAGGAGACUUGUAGUAGUAGGGUGGUGGAGGUGAUGGUGAUGGUGGUGGUGGUGACUUGUAGUUGUAGGGUGGUGGAGGUGAUGGAGAUGGUGGUGGUGGAGACUUGUAAUAGUAUGGUGGAGGGGGAGAUGGCGAUGGUGGCGGUGGAGAUUUGUAAUAGUAUACAGGUGCAGGUUUUGGUGAUGGUGGAGGUGGAGACUUGUAGUAAUAAGUAGGUGGGGGAGACUUAGUUGGUGGUGGCGGAGAUUUAUAAUAGUAAGGUGGUGGAGGCGAUGGUGACGGGGGUGGUGGUGAUUUAUAAUAGUAUACUGGUGCAGGUUUUGGUGAUGGUGGGGGUGGAGACUUGUAAUAAUAAUGAGUUGGUGGAGACUUAGUUGGUGAUGGUGGAGACUUAUAAAUAUAUGUCGGGGUUGGGGGAGGUGGCGAUUUGUACACAUACUUCGGUGAUUGAGGAGGUGGUGACUUAUAAACAUAUGUUGGGGUUGAGGGAGGUGGCGACUUGUACACAUACUUCGGUGAUGGAGGAGGAGGAGAUUUAUAAUAGUAUGGAGCGGGCGUAGGCUUGGGCUUUUGGCAUUCUGCAUAAGGUGUAUUAGAUCCAUAAGCAAAUGGUUUUGCAUAGAGAACAACUUCAUAACUAUUCUUCGAUUUCACUUUAAGGUUAGCACCCCUAAUUCCCCAAUGAAGGUUUGUAGGAAUGCUACACUUUGAAUCCUUUGGAGCAUUAUGGAGUUUAGCCUUGCAAGCCUUUGCUCCAUAUUUGCGAUAUUCAAAUCCUUCAACCGCGAUGCUAAAUUUGCCAUUGAUCUUUGUGGUACCAUAACUCACAAUUUUCUUGUCACCAGCCUUGCAAGUGACUUCAACAACAGCACCUAAACCAGGAGAAAAUAGAAAUAAUACAUUAAUUAACACCAAAACAAAGAUCUGCUAACAUAUGAUCAUUUAGAUAUUUCCCUUGAAAGAACUAUCUCUGCCCUAUAUUCAUUACAUAAAAUAGUAAAACCUUUUGUCCUAACUUCAUUAUAGUAAAUUUUUAUCCAAAUGAAAACUUAUUUUUCACAGAAUAAAUACUUCUUUCAAGCAAGAACUAACAACUUUCGUUUUCAAUAUCUUUUACUCAAUUGUCACAAUAAUGACUAUAGUUAUUGCCUUAAAAAAAAAAUUUGACGUUUCAAAAUCUUAAUUUUAACUAUACAUGCUGACGACAACAAAAGACGAUCGAAGAUCCAAAUAAAAAGAGACACAUUUAUGAAUUAUGAUAAAAGCAUACGAAAAGCAGCAAAAAGGAGAAUGUAUAACUGGAUAAUUUGUUUUAUGAAAAAUUAAGAGAAAAAAAAGAAGUGUGCAUGGUAUAAAGACUGUGGUACCUUUCAGAUGUUUCUUGCCGUGCGACAUCUCUGGAUUCUUCCAAUUAUAGCAUCUGAAACAAUAUACUUUUCCGACAACUUUGACCACGAAUUGAUGAUGUGGAGGAUAGUAAUGAGUUGGUGGUGGGGGUGAAGUGUAGUAGUAUGGUGGGGAAGAAGACUUCUUUGGUGGUGGUGGAGACUUGUAGUAGUAUGAAGUUGGAGGCGACUUCACUGGUGGUGGUGGGGAACUGUAGUAAUAUGGCGGAGGAGGUGAUUUCUUGGGUGGUGGUGGGGAGCUGUAAUAAUAUGGAGGAGUUGGUGACUUAACAGGUGGUGGUGGAGAAGUGUAGUGAUAUGGUGGGGGAGGUGAUUUCUUGGGUGGUGGUGGAGAGUUAUAAUAGUAUGGAGGAGGCAGUGACUUAACAGGUGGUGAUGGAGAAGUGUAGUGAUAUGGUGAGGGAGGUGAUUUCUUGAGUGGUGGUGGAGAGUUGUAGUAGUAUGGAGGUGGCGGUGACUUAACAGGUGGUGGUGGCGAGGAGUAGUAGUAUGGUGGAGGGGGAGACUUUAUUGGUGGUGGUGGAGAGCUAUAGUAGUAUGGGGGAGGAGGUGAUUUAGUAGGUGGUGGUGGAGACUUGUAAUAGUAGGGUGGGGGUGGUGAUGGGGAUGGUGGAGGAGGAGACUUGUAGUAAUAAGGUGGGGGAGGAGACGGUGAAGGGGGUGGUGGAGAUUUGUAGUAGUAUGGUGGUGGUGGUGAAGGAGAAGGUGGCGGUGGAGAUUUAUAGUAGUAUGGUGGUGGUGGUGAUGGUGAAGGAGGAGGUGGAGAUUUGUAGUAAUAUGGAGGUGGUGGUGAGGGUGAGGGUGGAGGAGGAGACUUGUAGUAAUAUGGUGGAGGUGGAGACGGUGACGGAGGAGGUGGAGACUUAUACACAUAAGGUGGUGGUGGAGAUGGCGAUGGAGGUGGUGGAGACUUAUACACAUAUGGAGGAGGUGGAG